CUAUCUCAUAGCCCUGUAUUUUGCUAAAUUUUUCCUCUAGUCUUGAGUCCUCCUUUAAUCUGUAGGGUGUUAUUCUACAUAGGACCUCUCUCUUAUUUUUUGGAGCCUAGCAUCUUGCAUCUUCCUGGAGCCCUAACUAAACUCGUAACUUCUAAGCUUCUAAGAAAUAUAUGAUGCACUCCAUGAGGGCCACGGUUGUCCGUUCUGGUUCACCACUGCACACUCAGGAGCUCAUGGCCUGCUGUCUGUGCUAGUGCUAUCCUCAACAGAAUAAUUGCUGACAAACUCUCUUGCCCAGAAAAUGUCUACUGGAAUUAUGGAGUACAAAAUAACUACAAAAGCAAUGAAAAAAAAGAAGGAUUUCUUAUUUACAUCCUUCAAAACCAUUGCUUUCUUGCUAUUUUAUGUCUCUGCAGGCCCAAUACCGUGCAUCUGU